AAACUGCCUUAUUCAUGUUCAUCUUCAUCUUUCUGAAGUACCCCUUUUGCUCCCAGAACAAUGUCCGCCGUCGUGCUCCGACCAAAACAUGUAGUCUAAGUCUAAUACUAGUUUGUAUCAUUAUCUGUUACAACAAACAUAUCUGUGUACGGUAAAGGGCUUAUCUUUGUGAAAUGGAUCUUUAUUUGGGCUUUACCUUGUGACACAAUAAUAUGUAGCCUUGGUUUGUGAUAUAAAUUAUUUUUUAAAGUUGGGAUGUCAGCUGGGUUUCUCCAUCUUCUGUAAUGAAUGUAGUUGAUUCAAGUUCCGAG